AGUGGCGGACGGGUGAGUAAGACGUAGGUGACCUGCCUCGAAAUGGGGGAUAACCACUGGAAACGGUGGCUAAUACCGCAUGAGCUGGUGGAGAUGGGAAUUUCUAUCAGGAAAGGUUUACUGUUUUGAGAGGGGCCUACGGCCGAUUAGCUAGUUGGUGAGGUAACGGCUCACCAAGGCGAUGAUCGGUAGCUGGUCUGAGAGGACGAUCAGCCACACGGGAACUGAGACACGGUCCCGACUCCUACGGGGGGCAGCAGUGAGGAAUAUUCGGCAAUGGGGGCAACCCUGACCGAGCAACGCCGCGUGGAGGAUGACGGUUUUUGGAUUGUAAACUCCUUUUCUCAGGGAAGAGCGAGGACGGUACCUGAGGAAUAAGUCACGGCUAACUACGUGCCAGCAGCCGCGGUAAUAUGUAGGUGGCAAGCGUUAUCCGGAAUUACUGGGCGUAAAGCGCACGCAGGUGGCUAUCUAAGAUUGACGUGAAACCUUCUGGCUUAACUGGAAGACGUCGUUGGUGACUGGAUGGCUUGAGACGAGGAGAGGGGUGCAGAAUUCCCGGUGUAGUGGUGGAAUGCGUAGAUAUCGGGAGGAAUACCAGUGGCGAAAGCGGCACCCUGGCCUUAGUCUGACGCUCAGGUGCGAAAGCGUGGGGAGCGAACGGGAUUAGAUACCCCGGUAGUCCACGCUGUAAACGAUGAACACUAGG
rnacentral:rRNA from 1 species